GAUAACAUUAUGGUUUGCGUGAUAGUGUUAAAUGUAAUCUACUCCCCCACAAACCUUCACCGAAAAACCGAUUUUAAAGACAAUAAAACUUUAUAAAGAAACACAUAUAAGCCACUACGCAUUUCAUUUCUUUCUUUUCUUUGGAUUGCCGUCAAUGAUGCAGCGUUUCGGUAAGAAAACGAUCCUGUAUGGCCUAAUUGUGGCAAUGGCUCUGCUAUCUUUAGCAUGGGUUAUUAUCACCGUAUAUUGGUUGAGAGUACGAAGUGUCAACCAAGAACCCAAGCCCACACAACUGUGCACCGAUUGCGAGUAUCUCUCAACAAUAUAUGACACGGAGAACAUCAACAGACAGGUUGAGAAGCUCCGGACAUCACACACCGCAAAAUGUUGUGCAGGGAUUGAAGAGAUUCUAAAUCUUGCAUUGCAAAAGGAAACGAGGUAAUUGUACUACAGCCGCCGCAGACAUUCAGUGACAGAGGCUGUUUAUAAUCUGUGUGAUUCAUACAAAGAUCAGAAACCUUUUGUGAAGGCGGUGGGAGUUUUAGAAGUCAAACGGAUUGGAGAACUGUUCAAGCUGCUGUGGAACGAACAUGGAGCGACGAUAGAAGGGCCAAGUACGCAGCACAUAACGCAUAUAACUGAUGAGGGGGAAAUCUUCAUACGAAGUGCGGGUCAUUAUCGUGUGCUUAGCAAACUAGUCAUUACAACGAAUAACUCUAGUCAGGGUGACGCAAUAUUUAGUCAUUACAUAUAUGUCUUGUCCCACAAGAUUGGCACACGUAGAUUGCUCGGCGAAACCAGGAUGUCGUUAGAAGGCCAAACCCAAACCAACAGUAUUUUUUCUGCUGUCUUUCAACUUGAUCUACAUGACCGCGUCUAUGUGAUUGUAUCACACCAGGAAUAUAUUGACGUGUCUAGUCAUGAGAAUAUCUUUUCCGUAUACCAUUUCUAAAGCAGAUGCAUUUGUUGGUUUAGUGUAUGUUCUUAAAUGCAUUGAAACGUUCAUGUAAAACACAUGUUUAUGCUUAUGAACAAGAUGAAUCACAAGGUUUAUAAUACAGUAUAUUUAAACUAUUUUAAACUUGCACUUAAGUGAUGUUUUUUUUGCACAUUUUGAUGAACGUAGAUAUUUUUAAUUAUUGUUGCAUUGGUAAUUUAUCAUAUAUAUGGACAAGAUGAAUCACAAGGUUUAUAAUACAGUAUAUUUGAACUAUUUUAAACGUGCACCUAAGUGAUGGUUUUUGCACAUUUUGAUAAACGUAGAUAUUUGUAAUUAUUGUUGCAUUGGUAUUUAUCAUUUAUGAUACUUUAUUGCUUUUUGUCGCCAAAAACCUAACUUUCCUUUAUAGUCAUAAUUUUGUUUGAGGUACUUCUUUUGUCCGCUACGUUAGGUUUUAGGCGACAAAGGGUGUGUUAUUUAAUCCAUCCGUGAACGUUGAUUUUUUUUGUAAUCUCUAAUAUUAGAUUGAUAUUAUUUGUUCUUUUAUUCUUUUGUUUCAUGUAAAACGAUCAUUCUUGUUGAACUUGUAAACGUAUCAAAUGCCUUUUGUAUUCGAUCCAUACUCAUAAACAGGGGUACACUAUGUACGUGUAUCGGUACCAAGAAGUGGUCACAAUGGCGAUGGCUGUAUUCAGAAAAGAAUCAGUGAUCACAACACUGCCGGAUUAUACAACACACGGUCUCAAUACUAUGUGUGUGUAUUAUUCUAGAUGUAUCGAAUUAUAAUUAAAUGUUCACUAUGGGCUUAAAUAUCAUUUUUGGCAAUAGUAUAACACAUAUUUACAUAUACUUUAAAGUGUAUACAGUCUAACCUGUCAAUAAAGACCAUUCAAGGGAUUUGGUCGAUGUGGUAUUUGUUCACAGGUGGUCUUCAUUCCCAGGGUCGAUUGAAACUUUGCAAAAUAUGCUAGUAGUUUUUUUUACAUGUACCUUAUUUAUGAAUGUGCUCUUUUGUAUAAAUGUUUGAAUACUUGUACAUGUAUAAUGAAAUAAAGGAUUGAUAAAACA